rnacentral:rRNA from 1 species
UAUAUUGUACCUUGAUUGCUUCGGUGCGCCCGCCUCACGGCCGCCGGGGGGCUUCUGCCCCCGGGUCCGCGCGCACCGGAGACACUAUUGAACUCUGUCUGAAGAUUGCAGUCUGAGCAUAAACUAAAUAAGUUAAAACUUUCAACAACGGAUACUCUUGGUUCCGGCAUCGAUAGAAGAACGCAGCGAAAUGCGAUAACUAAUGUGAAUUGCAGAAUUCAGUGAAUCAUCGAGUCUUUGAACGCACAUUGCGCCCCCUGGUAUUCCGGGGGGCAUGCCUGUCCGAGCGUCAUUGCUGCCCUCAAGCACGGCUUGUGUGUUGGGCUCCGUCCCCCCGGGGACGGGUCCGAAAGGCAGCGGCGGCACCUGAGUCCGGUCCUCGAGCGUAUGGGGCUUUGUCACCCGCUCUGUAGGCCCGGCCGGCGCCAGCCGACAACCAAUCAUCCUUUUUUACAGGUUGACCUCGGAUCAGGUAGGGAUACCCGUGAACUUNAGCAUAUCCAGUAAGCGGAAG